GCGUGGGUGAAGAAGGUCUUCGGAUUGUAAAGCCCUUUCGGCGGGGACGAUGAUGACGGUACCCGCAGAAGAAGCCCCGGCUAACUUCGUGCCAGCAGCCGCGGUAAUACGAAGGGGGCUAGCGUUGCUCGGAAUUACUGGGCGUAAAGGGCGCGUAGGCGGUCUGCCAAGUCAGGCGUGAAAUUCCUGGGCUUAACCUGGGGGCUGCGCUUGAGACUGGUGGGCUAGAGGACGGAAGAGGGUCGUGGAAUUCCCAGUGUAGAGGUGAAAUUCGU
rnacentral:rRNA from 1 species